UAAGAUAGCUGCUUCUCCUGUUUACAACCACCCAAAUCCUGGAGGGGACAGAGGCUGAGGAGCCCAUCAGAAAACAACAAAUGCGCCAAAGUUUGGACAAACAACAAUGCUGAUGAUAAAAGGCAUUUAAAAGAAAAGUUUCGAUACUGCUAAUCCUGUUUAGACGGGCAGAGAGAACUGCAUUUUGAUGCCUAUGGUGAUUGAUGUUUAUAAUAGAAAUCAAAAUAAAUAAAACACAUUUCA